AGAGAGAGACAUGCGCGCAUAUCAAUAAGCGGAGGAAAAGAAACUAACUAGGAUUCCCUCAGUAACGGCGAGUGAAGCGGGAAGAGCUCAAAUUUGAAAUCUUAAAGGUUUCUACCUCUGACGAAUUGUAGUUUAAAGAAGUGUUUUCUGUUGGAGUUUUGGUAAAAGUUCUUUGGAAUAGGACAUCAUAGAGGGUGAGAAUCCCGUAUUUGACCAUUUAUUUCCAGCUUUGUGAUACACUUUCAAAGAGUCGGAUUGUUUGGGAAUGCAGUCCAAAAUGGGUGGUAAAUUUCAUCUAAAGCUAAAUAUUGGCGAGAGACCGAUAGCGAACAAGUACCGUGAGGGAAAGAUGAAAAGAACUUUGAAAAGAGAGUUAAACAGUACGUGAAAUUGUCAAAAGGGAAGCGUUUGACACCAGUGUUGUUUUUCGGAAAAUCAAUUAAAGAACUGUUUAUGCUAAGCUGUUUAGACUUUAUCAGCUAUCUGUUUAGUUUUGAGCUUUUCUUUAAUGCACCUUUCAGUUAACAAGUCAACAUCAAUUUCUUUUGCUGUAAAAAAGCUUGAGGAAGGUGGCUUGAGAUUCGUCUUAAGUGUUUAUAGCCUCUUGCCUAUGCAGUCGGAGAGAUUGAGGUCUGCAGCGUAGAUCCUUCGGGGCUAAAUGCAUUUGUGCUAAGUUAUAACAUUUUAUAGACAACUUGUUGACUAUGAUUUGUCUUGUAGCUUACUCGCUUAUGCUAUUUUACCUACGCUUAGGAUGUUGAUGUGAUACUGCGAGCA
rnacentral:rRNA from 1 species